UCCAGACUCCUACGGGAGGCAGCAGUGAGGAAUAUUGGUCAAUGGGCGGAAGCCUGAACCAGCCAAGUCGCGUGAGGGACUAAGGCCCUGCGGGUCGUAAACCUCUUUUGCCGGGGAGCAGUGGUCCGGACGCGUCCGGACCGGGAGAGUACCCGGAGAAAAAGCAUCGGCUAACUCCGUGCCAGCAGCCGCGGUAAUACGGAGGAUGCGAGCGUUAUCCGGAUUUAUUGGGUUUAAAGGGUGCGUAGGCGGAGUGUCAAGUCCGCGGUAAAAUCGCGGGGCUCAACCUCGCUCCGCCGUUGAAACUGGCGUUCUUGAGUGGGCGAGAAGUAUGCGGAAUGCGUGGUGUAGCGGUGAAAUGCAUAGAUAUCACGCAGAACUCCGACUGCGAAGGCAGCGUACCGGCGCCCAACUGACGCUGAAGCACGAAGGCGUGGGUAUCGAACAGGAUUAGAUACCCCAGUAGCG
rnacentral:rRNA from 1 species